AACAUUAAAAAAAAAGGAAUACAACCAUAUAAGUGGACAGAAUACAAUCUGGCUUUGUCCUGUAUGCAAAGAAAAAUAAGGAACAAAUUUGUGAUAUUUUGCUGACUUUUUGCUGGCUUCUGCUGAAGUGAUAAGAAGAAAAUUUUUAAUAAAAUUUUUUUAACUAAAA